rnacentral:miRNA from 14 species
GUUUUGUUUGUUUCAUUUUUCCUGACAGGGUCUUUCUGACUAUGUGCAGCCCUGACUGUUCUGGAACUCUCUCUGUAGACGAGACUGUCCUCAAACUAACAGAGAUCCGCUUGCUUC